rnacentral:rRNA from 1 species
CAGUAGCCGCGGGAAUACGGAGGGGGCUAGCGUUAUUCGGAAUUACUGGGCGUAAAGCGCACGUAGGCGGAUCAGAAAGUUAGAGGUGAAAUCCCAGGGCUCAACCUUGGAACUGCCUUUGAAACUCCUGAUCUUGAGGUCGAGAGAGGUGAGUGGAAUUCCGAGUGUAGAGGUGAAAUUCGUAGAUAUUCGGAGGAACACCAGUGGCGAAGGCGGCUCACUGGCUCGAUACUGACGCUGAGGUGCGAGAGCGUGGGGAGCAAACAGGAUUAGAUACCCCUGUAGUCCCUGUCUCUUAUAA